AUAGCUUAGAUGCAAGUGUGUGUGUGUGUGUGUGUGUGUAUACACACACAUACAAUUGCAUCUAAGUUAUCU